CAAGAAAGAACGAUGAUAAAUGCAUGAUGGCAUACAUGCCGGAAAAUAAUACUAAAGCUAACUUGAAAUCGAGCGCAGUCAAGUUAAUUUCAACGUUACAACACGUUUAAAUUAACUUCCUAUUUUCUGUAUCUAGAACUGUGUCAUAGAACUAUAUAAUGUUCUAUGACACAAACGGAAAAAGAUAGCGAGUCGUUAACUCGGUCUAAGAGUUUAACAAGUUUAGUGCUAAGUAUAUGCCCCAAUUUCGUAAUGAUACUAAGAUAAUACCGCGCAAAAAAGUUAUAUUACUGUAAAUCAGUACUUUACAGCACUAAUUUCGUAGUUAGACGUAACUGAGGAGAAGUAGCUUUUAACUUGAAAUUCUUAAGAGAUCAUAAUGUUAAUCUUUUAUAUAUAUAAUUUUAUAUAUAAAUCUCACACAGAGAGAUUUAUACGGCCAACUCUAAAAAUCAACAUCAAUUCAAAACUUUUUUAUUCUUGGUCCUCUCUUUGUUUGUCCUCAUUUUGGAAUUUUUAAACGACGUGUUGAUGCUCGCUACCUAAUGAUAUUUUAACGACGAAAGCCGCAUUAUGCAUAAAGAAUGUCGCGGACGAGUCGCACAAUCGUUAAUUAUUGAAAUUAUGGACAAUACGACGAUGGAUUAUCGCGCGUUCGAUAUGUCUGUGCACGAAGGUUAUCUCGAUACCCUUGAUCGGGCUGCAUAAUUGUGGCGGGCAACCGAUCGAUCCCUACAGCUGUCCGGUACAUCGGCUGUUCACCGUUCAGAGAGAUUAUGGAGCUGAUUUACCGAGGUAAUUCCUUUGAUGUGCACAGUCAGUGAUUCGCAUAACUCGGUAACCCUAGGACGCUAUAUAAAGCAGCCACCCUGGCAACCCACCCUCUCUUUCACCCUCACCUGGUGUAUUCGCAUAAUUCAAUAUAUCAAUUCUCAUAUGUUCUUCCGUAAGUUAUUUAUCUUCCAAGUCUAUCUCACGAAAUUGCAAAUUACAAGGAAACCUUUGACAUUGAGUGAUGCGAGUGAAGUAUCUCUGACGUAUUAUCACUUUUAACCAGAUGGCUUUGACAAUAAAAAAAAAAGAGAAGAUAAAGAAAAGGAGAACUGGAUUUAAAUCUUUUUCAAAAUUAAAACAGUAAUAACAACAAGAAUGUCGUUAUCAUAUAAUUUGUGAUAUUUCACGAAUUAUUUCUAAAGUUAAAUAUUACUUCGAGUUUGAACGCUAAAGUAUAAAUCACAACAAUAAUACCAUUAUUCUCUACUCAAUUGGCGCUCAUCCAGAAUCCGAUAGCAUCGGUAAUAAUCGCCAUAAUAACCGGGUGUAGUAAAGGAUAGUUAUUGGUCCGACAAUAAAUUGCUUCCUAAUUUAUUAAACCAAAUCCCUAUUGGUACAAUUGUAUGUCAUUUCAAGUGUUUCUGGACGCUCGGCGAUAUAGUACAUUAUCAGUCGCAAUUGUAAAUCUUGUCUACUGACCUCGAUCGAAAGCUUGUUUUGAUACAUAGAUCGACAACGGCGUGGAUUAUUUCAUCUGAGGAAUCGUGUAGUGGUGCGCGCUACUUGUUCAACUAGAUUUUCGAAACUCGUCGCGGUAGUUUGAGUUCAAGGGAGUUCAAGGGGAUCUUCGAUUAACCCAGUAGGUACGCGGCCAUAGCAUGGGAGCAAUUUACAACAAUGCACGUCAUACACGUAUAUUCCAUCCCGAGAAGAGAGGCGAGCGGAUAGAAAUUGCAAGCCCCCCCCCCCCGUCUCUUGCGAGUGUGCGUAGCUACGUGUGCGAGGGAGAAACUGGUUGGAAACCAACGGAGAGGGAUGAACAGGUGAAGGAGGAGGAGGCCACGCACGAGCAUCCACACGCACAAGGCGUACACACAGCCACCGCGCGAGCGAGAGAUAGAGAGAAGAGCGAAGGGAGGUGGGGAAGGAAGACACGACGGAGGGAUUUAUUACUCGGGAUUUACUGUUAUUACCCCGGAGGGGGAGGACCACUCCGCAACGGGCAACGGCGAUGCAUACGGCGAUGUGGGGUGUGUUUAUCCGAUACGUGCAAUUCGCGCGCGCGCACGCGCACACAUAUACACACACUUAUACACGCGUGUAUGCGGCCGAUGCACGGAUGCGUCGUUGCGACCAGCCGACAUCCGUGCAUCCUAGCGACCUGCGGUUUGUCGUUCUACCGUUGCACGCAUGCAUUACGUCGCGCGUAAUUGAACGGUGAUCCUGUACUUUGUUUCGCGCUGUUGUUGCUCUCACGCGUGGCGUCGUCCAAUCACUUUCAGACCGAGACGCGAUUACCAAGUAUCUCUAUCUUAUCGAAAACAUUUAACGACUUGGAAAUUUCAACGAAAAGUAAAAGGAUCACUCAGAAGACUUGUGUGAAUAUCGAAAAGGAUCGAAUGCUGACACAGGAUUUCCAUUGAAACAAAAAGUUUUUUUUUUUUUUUUAAUAUAUAUAUCGGAGAAUUUUUAUUCAACGCGCAACGUGAAUUUUUAUUUACAUGAUACUUUUAUUUCUCGGUCGAAUAUCCAUUUUUAUCUUUUUUUCGUAAUACGAGAUUUACGCAAUUUGGGUACGCAUUUCAUGUUUAAGUAUGAUAAAGUUAGAGAUCGUAGCGAGAAAUGUUAUGUUAUCUUAUAAUUCUCAGCGGAUGCGAUAACCAGGUUAUUAACAUGCGAUUAUCACUUCGUGAAAACAUUGCAAAACUGUAUUAUAUUAUAAGAAGAUGAUUGUUAUUGUUUGCGUACACAUUCUUACGCUAGAUUAGAUAUAUACAUCUAACAAGAAAACACUUUAGUAUUCUGGUAAAUAUGAAGUAUAAUGUUAGUCAUUGGACUGUUUUUCCGUAGCGCAUUGCAUUAUGUAAGACCUACACGUGCGAUUUAUUUGCAUGUAAAUUCUUAUCGUCGUGUGUACAGAGCAUGACAAAUUGCUUUUGUCCUCUAAAAUAAGAAUGGUGAAAUAAAACGAGUACGCUAUCGCGAGUUCACUGGUAAUCAGAAGAUUAAUAAUAAUAACGUCAUUAAGAAAACUGUAUAAAAAUACGAUAAAAAUAAAAGUAAACAAAAAAUUGUAUGUUUAAUUAAUUUCUUCCUUUACAAUUCCUAGACGAUUACAAGUAAAGAUAAUCGAAUAUAAGCGAUUUAAAAUGUAAUUUUACACUUUAAAUAUUCAUCGUCAUUAACAGAUCACAUCGGUCGACACAUCAAUUGUCAUCUCGCAAAACAAUCUCCAAUCUCUACGAUUGAAAGCUGUUUACAUGACCUUGCAGCUUGCUUGGCAGCGCGGAAAGCGGAGGGCUUUAAAAGCGCAUGACCCUUCAAAAGGGGCUAGGUCGUGAAAAACAACUCCUACGCCAGCGCUCUUUGUCACGAGGGGCAACGGUGCAUCCCUAGUUUGAUAGAUAUCGUUGGGUUGCUCCGAAGUUGCAGGGGUGCGGAAUUAGAUAUGCCUGGGCGGUCUCGCCAGGCAUUUAAACCCUUUGUCAAAAUCAACGCCCCGUGCAGACGAGCGGUAGGCAAGCAGGUAGCCCUUCAAGCUCUCUCUCUCUCUCUCUCUCUCUCUUUCUUUCGCUCGGUCGCUCGCUUUCUCCCUUCUCCAUGGUUAACAAAACAUCACCCUCCUUCCUCCGAUUCUCGCCGUUCGUUCCCCCGUACGUCUACUAUCGACCGCGUCAUGCUGAAUCCGCAUUCUGCACGCGCCAUUAGUUUCAACGUGCGUAUCAGUCACUGCCAUCCGUUUGCUCUAUUGCUUCUCUCGAAACUUCGCGUUGCGCACAAAAGUUUCAGAGAGAAAAAGAAAGAGAGGAAGAAAAAAAGAAAAAGAGAUGUGCCAUACAGAAAUUGAAAUUGAUGAUGUGACUUGUCAUUUGCGAAUUAAAAAUUUAAUAUAAAUACAAAUACUAAAAUUCACACUCAAAUCCCAUACUUGCUCUAACGUCAAAUAGAGCGCAGGAAACCUAGAAUACCCUGCACCAUUCAGCUGGAAAACAUAAUCUUGGAGACAUUUCGUGGAGACGGAGCGUGUACGAUAUUUGCGCUGCAGCACCUGUCAAUUAAAUAUUUGAAGGCAAUAAGCUUAAAAUCACUCCAUUAUUCAUUUUGUUUUAUUUUCCCACUGAAUUUUAUCCGUUUUAACUCGUUCUCUAACCGUUCGUCAAAUUUUUUAUACUGUCUGAAUAUUGCGGAUGUUAAGCGCUUAACGUUCCGCGUCCCAUUCGCAAAAUAACGCGCGCGAGUCUCGCAUGAAUAAUGGAUUUAGAACUAGAUAGUCAUAUUGAGCGCUAAAUACACGGCAUGAAUGCGAAGAGUUUUAUGUAUACGUUAAUACAACAGGAUCGCAGAGCAAUUGUAAAAAAUUGCCGUUCACCCGGCGAACGGAAUACAUUACACAAUAUAUUUGCGACAUUUGUUCGAUAACGUUGAUUUUAGAACUCGGAGUGGAGGUUUUCAUGCGCGCAUAAAGGGAAGAGCGUGAAAGUGCAUGCAAUAAAAUGUGUAUUGGAAUUAAUACAGCGACUGAUUAAGCGCGCGUAAUGCGAUGCUUUAAGCGCGGAAGAGCGAUUUAUGCACUGCUCGGCGCUCGGAUAAUUAGGCUGAUCAAUUAAGCGCAUUUGAGGGAAAACCACAUAAACGCUGCAACGUGUACUGACGCAAGGAAUUAUACGCAGCAGUUAUAUCUGCGCACAUAUCAAAGAACAGUGCAAUUCUUGCUAAAGAAUCACAUAGUUCAAGCGAUGGGUCAUUACAGUUAAUUAAGCGAUAUGGAUUUAUGUGUUUAUUCACUGCUUAGAAAUGAAUACCGUUGCGAUACAAUUAUGUAAUGUUUCAGUAAUAAUCGGAUAUUUAUGGAUAUGGUAAUGUUCAUUUUACAAAAUCCGAUAUAAAUUUUUCAUAACAAUUUUACAUUACGUUGCCAUAUUGUUGUAUAAUAACCUGGCAAUUGGAGAAGGGUUAAUAGUUGCACGGUUUACCUUAUCGCGCAGCGAAAGGCGAUACGGGGUGAAUGAAGAAAUUAUCCAACGAGUUGUGAUCCUCGGGCUCACGCAAAGAUUCGUGUGCGUCUCUCUUCGAAGAGACGCGUCUCGUCUUCCACGACGCUUAUUUUAGGAGCCGCUAUUUCUGCCGAUGCCUCCUCUCCAUGGCGGCGCUAUGGACGGAGAUCUCGCCGCACGUUUGUUGAUAAACUUAUUUCCAACAUCGCGAAACGCGUAGCGAAGCGAAUCGGAGUGGCAGAAACGAAGGCAGAGGAGGGGAGGAGGGAAAGAAAGAGAAACUCGUGCCACGAGGUCGUGGUGACGAGGAAAAAUGGCGACGGGGUUGGAGAGAUCCGGGACCCGGGGUGAGCUUAAAGACAUGGAAGGAGUCGGUAAGAAUAAAAAAUUCUGGCGUACCGCCAGGCCUUCCUCUCUCUCUCUUUCUCCCGAUCUUCUUAUUCUUCCGCUUCUGAGACGCCCAGACCCCAUGCCAAGACCCCGCGCGGCGUCAAGCCCACCUAAUUUACUCGCAGUCACCGUCGAUCCUGACGGAAGUUUGAUAGACCUGACGGGACAUCGGUUGGUUUAGACACGCUACGCUAAGCACGACAUGUGACAUCUCGGGACGUCGUAAUAGCGAAAUAAAGCUCUGGCACGGCUACGGUACUUUGCAAGAUUAACGGACACCUUGUACUUUAUCUCGUGGUUGCUUUCACUCGUACUUACUUGUUAGUUUCAGGCGACGAAACUUUGAAAAUUUCGCAUGUCACGAUCGUACUUAUCACGAAAAGAGAAUUCCGUUUGAAAUUCAAACUAAACUCCAUUUUGUUGAGUUUCCAAGGAGAAAAAAUAUUAAGAAGCAGAGUAACAGCGUUAAAUUCUUGAGAAAUACAUAUUGUUUUUUAAAAAUAUCAACAAAUAUCCAAAUACCAACGAUAUGUGUAUAAAUUCCGAAAUUUCACAAUAUGCAAAUCAAAAGGAUAAGAGAAUAUCUCAAAUAUUUACAAGUGAUUAAAAAAAAAGUGCAUAAAAUUAUGGACGAUAAAAAAAGACGAUCUGUGAGAAACGCGACUCGAAGCGCUUUUACAAUAAAAUUUACUAAAUUUAAAAGUGAACUCACGGCGAUUUGGCUUUGAAUCAUUUUGCAUUCUUGUCAAACAUACUCGCUUACGUAAGCGACACGAUCGCAGCUGUUAUAAGGCAACCUUGGGACACUUUACGAUCGCGAGGAAACCAACUAGAAUCGCUUCUUUAUCGUUCAACCUACAUUGCGAUGUUCACAUUAUCAUUUAUUAAAACACUGUGCGUCAUGGUGUGAUGGAUGUGUCAACAGUUUCUAUUAGUAAGCAAGUAAGCAUUUACAAUUGACAUUUUCCGUAAAGCACGUAAUCAUCAUGACAUCAAGUAGCCGAAGGUCAACAUAUGCGGUAUAACGCAGUCAAUAGUGCGCCACGAUUAACAGAAUUAAUUUGCACUUGAUCGAUAAUUUAUCUCGAAGGGCAACGAGAUACUUCCGACCGAAUUAAAGGGGCACAUAUUCUCUAACUAAUAAAACGUCACUGUAAUAAAAUAAGCCGAAGCAAACAAAUUCAGAAAUCCUUUCGAUGUCGUUAUCACACUGAAAUAUUGUUUGCCAAACGACGCAAAUAACAAAAUAAUUUUCCUAAUAUUUUAUUCAAAGGGAGAUAUCAGUACGUUACAAUCGAGCAAAAAUGUUCUUUCGGACUUUCGUUAAUUCGAUCAAUUUAAUUCAAUUAACAGACAGAGCCAGAUAGAUCGUAUGUGGCGCGUUUACCUUGGAAUAAUAUUUAAUCGUUGAGUCGCCGAACAGAGUUCGUUCGUAUUCGCUUUGGCAGAUAACGCGCGUGACAAUAAUAGAGCGAUAAAUCAAAAUUGAUCACAAUCGAUUUAGAGAACGAGGGAAGUAAUAGAAAUGCAUGCUCUCUCUCUCUGUGCGCCGAUUGUGUAAGUGCGCGAUGGUAUCGAUAUCGCGUUGCGUCUCGCAUGACCAAUCGCCCGCGUGGAGAGAAGAGAUAUUGUCGCCUGGAAUCGACGAGCCGGAAAGAUCGAGAGCGAUCGAACGGACAAUUGACCGAUCCGCGCGCUUCCGCGUGAUCUUCGCUUUAAACGCUCCCCAAGUAUUUCUAUUAUCUACGGAUUUGCGCGGUCGAUCUGUAUUAUGAAGUUUUCCUCAAUGGAUAGUUUGGACGCAAUAACUUUUCCAACUUUUAACAUUAUCUUUCUUGAUAAUUGAGUUUCAACUUGCGAUAAACUAAAAUUCGCUCGAGUGCAAUUUCAAAAAUUAGAUUUUUAUGUUUAUUUGCGUGGAAAUUGGAUUCAUUAAGUUUUUAUUUUAUUUGAUUAUUUCUCGACGACUGCAUAUAUAUGUUUUCGAGGUAGAAAGGUCGAUUCAGGUGAAAAAACACGAUUAUUUUAGGAAAGAGUAAUAUUUAAAAAAUUGUAGUCAGAUACACAUGUACGAUUUGUAGAGGAAUAGAGCUUCGCAUGCAUGUUCUUGCAGAUGUAAAUCAAAUAAUUUGUUCCACGAGUAUUGAACAUAAUGAGAAAAAAAUACUAUCGGCGCAUACGAAGUCUAAUACAGUUGCCAUGAAAGAUUACAUCAGAAUUCUACCCAAAGACUUAUAUAUAUUCCGAUCGCGUGAAGAGAUCGUGAAUCGCAUUGUUCGCCCGUGCAUUACGUCACGACGCAGUGCUCUGCAAUGUAAAAUCAUAGUAGUGAGAAAUCUGUAUCGGUGAGAUCGCUACCGUAUUGGGCCACCACGACGGAGAAGAGUGACAUAAUUCAGGAUCGCCGUUAACGCCAGGCGAGGUCAGGCGAGUUCUACUCCCGUGAGAGCAACGCUUUAAUUAACGCUCGGAGAAGCUUUCUACUGUCUCUCUCCCUCUCUCUCUCUCUCUCUUACUAUCUCGCUCUUUUUCCUUUUUCUCCUUUUAAACCUGAUCUUGGUAACGGUGACGAGUCAACACGAGUCAAGCCUCCACGUUUCCCGCAGACGGCCCGCAAGGUUUUUGCUCCGGGGCGCAAAACUGGAGCGAUAGAGAGAGAAAGAGAUAGAGAGAAGAAAAAAAUAUAAGACUAUGAAUACGAUCUAUAAGGACCGACUGAGAGAAUUCGUCACGUGUCGACCAUACGAGCCUGGUUCUACCCGGUCCGUUUUUCUAAUUUUUUUUUCCGCGCUCCCCUUCACGAGCUUCCACGUAUCGGGCCUUAGAGGAAGGAGAAGGAAACAAGAGAGAAAGAAGCACGAAGAGGAGAAACAGUCCGCGCGAAGGAGGCAAAUGGAGGCUGUUAGAACGAGAGGGGACGCCCACCAGCAUUCACGGUGGCCUGGACCCGGAGCAGGGCUUCGCAGCUGCGCGCUUCUAUUGUAUCUUUACGACGUUAUGCGACGGCAAACCAAGACCCCGAUUCCUUAUCCCCCGUCACACCCUGAUACGCGCGCGUCGACGUCUUCCUUUCUCUACCUUCGUCUAUUCACGCUCGCCUUUUACGCGCGAUAAAAGCUCCGGGGAAUCGCCCGAGUUUCACGGAAACGGCGCAGCGACCGUGAUAUGCGGCGAGAACUUUUACGGCACCCUCGGCGGGAUAAUGACGAGUCCAUUUUGCACCUGUCACGUGCUGCACUUGCCGCCGCAUUUUAUACUAAAUAUGAUCGCUUUAAAUGAUAUAACCUAAUACGACAAUGUCAACAUGGGAUAAUGCUGAAGGGUGACAUGUGUGCCACAUAUGCGGCAGCAACUGUGCGUGCAUUUAAUUCUUGUUUUCUUCAUUUGGAAAAAAAAA